rnacentral:rRNA from 1 species
UACAGAGGUGGCAAGCGUUAUUCGGAAUUACUGGGCGUAAAGGGCGCGUAGGCGGCCUUCUAAGUCAGACGUGAAAUCCCCCGGCUUAACCUGGGAACUGCGUCUGAUACUGGGAGGCUUGAGUAUGGGAGAGGGAUGUAGAAUUCCAGGUGUAGCGGUGAAAUGCGUAGAUAUCUGGAGGAAUACCGGUGGCGAAGGCGGCAUCCUGGACCAUAACUGACGCUGAGGCGCGAAAGCUAGGGGAGCAAACGGG